rnacentral:rRNA from 1 species
AGAGUUUGAUCCUGGCUCAGGAUGAACGCUGGCGGCGUGCCUAAUACAUGCAAGUCGAGCGAACAGAUAAGGAGCUUGCUCCUUUGAAGUUAGCGGCGGACGGGUGAGUAACACGUGGGUAACCUACCUAUAAGACUGGGAUAACUUCGGGAAACCGGAGCUAAUACCGGAUAACAUUUAGAACCGCAUGGUUCUAAAGUGAAAGAUGGUUUUGCUAUCACUUAUAGAUGGACCCGCGCCGUAUUAGCUAGUUGGUAAGGUAACGGCUUACCAAGGCGACGAUACGUAGCCGACCUGAGAGGGUGAUCGGCCACACUGGAACUGAGACACGGUCCAGACUCCUACGGGAGGGCAGCAGUAGGGAAUCUUCCGCAAUGGGCGAAAGCCUGACGGAGCAACGCCGCGUGAGUGAUGAAGGGUUUCGGCUCGUAAAACUCUGUUAUUAGGGAAGAACAAAUGUGUAAGUAACUGUGCACAUCUUGACGGUACCUAAUCAGAAAGCCACGGCUAACUACGUG